CCUACGGGAGGCAGCAGUGGGGAAUCUUGCGCAAUGGGCGAAAGCCUGACGCAGCGACGCCUCGUGGGGGAUGAAGGCUCUCGGGUUGUAAACCCCUUUCGGCAGGAACGAAAUUGACGGUACCUGAAGAAGAAGCACCGGCCAACUACGUGCCAGCAGCCGCGGUAAUACGUAGGGUGCAAGCGUUGUCCGGAUUUAUUGGGCGUAAAGAGCUCGUAGGCGGCUUCGUAAGUCGGGUGUGAAACCUCCAGGCUUAACCUGGAGACGCCACCCGAUACUGCGAUAGCUAGAGUCUGGUAGGGGAUCACGGAAUUCCUGGUGUAGCGGUGAAAUGCGCAGAUAUCAGGAGGAACACCGAUGGCGAAGGCAGUGAUCUGGGCCAGUACUGACGCUGAGGAGCGAAAGCGUGGGGAGCAAACAGGAUUAGAUACCCUGGUAGUCCACGCCGUAAACGUUGGGCACUAGGUGUGGGUCCUUAUCAACGGGAUCCGUGCCGCAGCUACGACAUAGUACGCCCGCCGUCGGGAGGUACGGUCGCGACGAACGUAAACGUUAAAGUAAGUAGACGGCGUGAGACGNGCCGACGGACGACGACGAGGGAGUAGG
rnacentral:rRNA from 1 species